CAGUCGCCGCGGGAAUACGGAGGGUGCAAGCGUUAAUCGGAAUUACUGGACGUAAAGCGCACGCAGGCGGUUUGUUAAGUCAGAUGUGAAAUCCCCGAGCUUAACUUGGGAACUGCAUUUGAAACUGGCAAGCUAGAGUCUUGUAGAGGGGGGUAGAAUUCCAGGUGUAGCGGUGAAAUGCGUAGAGAUCUGGAGGAAUACCGGUGGCGAAGGCGGCCCCCUGGACAAAGACUGACGCUCAGGUGCGAAAGCGUGGGGAGCAAACAGGAUUAGAUACCCCAGUAGUCCCUGUCUCUUAUAC
rnacentral:rRNA from 1 species